UACGGGGGGGGCAAGCGUUGUUCGGAAUUACUGGGCGUAAAGGGCUCGUAGGCGGCCAACUAAGUCAGACGUGAAAUCCCUCGGCUUAACCGGGGAACUGCGUCUGAUACUGGAUGGCUUGAGUUCGGGAGAGGAUGCGGAAUUCCAGGUGUAGCGGUGAAAUGCGUAGAUAUCUGGAGGAACACCGGUGGCGAAAGCGGCGCGCUGGAUCUCUUCUGACGCUGAGGCGCGAAAGCCAGGGGAGCAAACGGG
rnacentral:rRNA from 1 species